rnacentral:rRNA from 1 species
GCUUAACACAUGCAAGUCGAGCGGUAAGGCCUUUCGGGGUACACGAGCGGCGAACGGGUGAGUAACACGUGGGUGAUCUGCCCUGCACUUCGGGAUAAGCCUGGGAAACUGGGUCUAAUACCGGAUAUGACCUCCUAUCGCAUGGUGGGUGGUGGAAAGAUUUAUCGGUGCAGGAUGGGCCCGCGGCCUAUCAGCUUGUUGGUGGGGUAAUGGCCUACCAAGGCGACGACGGGUAGCCGACCUGAGAGGGUGACCGGCCACACUGGGACUGAGACACGGCCCAGACUCCUACGGGAGGCAGCAGUGGGGAAUAUUGCACAAUGGGCGAAAGCCUGAUGCAGCGACGCCGCGUGAGGGAUGACGGCCUUCGGGUUGUAAACCUCUUUCAGCAGGGACGAAGCGCAAGUGACGGUACCUGCAGAAGAAGCACCGGCUAACUACGUGCCAGCAGCCGCGGUAAUACGUAGGGUGCAAGCGUUGUCCGGAAUUACUGGGCGUAAAGAGUUCGUAGGCGGUUUGUCGCGUCGUUUGUGAAAACCAGCAGCUCAACUGCUGGCUUGCAGGCGAUACGGGCAGACUUGAGUACUGCAGGGGAGACUGGAAUUC